AGUGAACGCUGGCGGCGUGCUUAACACAUGCAAGUCGAACGAGAACGGAUUAUAGCUUGCUAUAAUUGUCAGCUAAGUGGCGCACGGGUGAGUAAUGUAUAGGUAAUAUGCCUCUUACUAAGGGAUAACAAUUGGAAACGAUUGCUAAUACCUUAUACUCCUUAUUAACAGAAGUUAAUAAGGGAAAGAUUUAUUGGUAAGAGAUUAGCCUGUAUUGUAUCAGUUAGUUGGUGGGGUAAUAGCUUACCAAGACUAUGACACAUAACUGGUUUGAGAGGAUGAUCAGUCACACUGGAACUGAGACACGGUCCAGACUCCUACUGGAGGCAGCAGUGGGGAAUAUUGCACAAUGGACGAAAGUCUGAUGCAGCAACGCCGCGUGGAGGAUGACACAUUUCGGUGCGUAAACUCCUUUUAUAUGAGAAGAUAAUGACGGUAUUAUAUGAAUAAGCACCGGCUAACUCCGUGCCAGCAGCCGCGGUAA
rnacentral:rRNA from 1 species